ensembl:lncRNA
CUUAAAGGCCAAAUCCUUCCCAUUCAAACCUCUCCACAUCUCCUCAGUGCCCUGGGGACAAAGUCCAAAUGGCCUCCACCAUGCCUUCUGGGCCAGUACCAGGGCUGCUCCUACAUUUCUGGGCUCAGGUGAAGAGCUACACUGUGGUGUGUGGGAUCCAACCCAUAGUCCAACCGAGAUACUCCGGGGGAUUCAAGCCCUAUGCGGUGAACUUUAACAGUGACACAGAGUGCUGGAGGCUGGGAAGUCCAAGAUCAAGGCACCCACAUCUGACAAAGGCCUUCUGGCUGUGUCCUCAUGUGGUGGAAGAUGGAGGAGGAAAGAGACACAGGGGCUACACUCACCUUUUAUGAUGGUGUUAAUCUCACCACGAUGGCCGGGCUGCUGUGGGCCACUUGCCUCCCAGAGGGAGCUAUAUGGCAGGGAGAGGCUGAAGGUGAGGUUCUCAGCCUGAUGUCUUCACCUUGUCCAUGUUUAUAGGGGUAAGCUGAUUUUCUAAAAAUAACUAUUUUAUUGAUUGGUACAAUCAGGGUCUUAGCCUUUGUUUCUGGGAUAAGCCAAUGUUCCCAGGAGCUAUGGCCACGUAGCAAAAAGUAUGCAAAGGUCCCACAAAGGGCAGCCUCCUCCAGUACAUCCGGUCACAAGUAAGCGUGCAGUUAUCUCCAUUAUGCUCCCCACCCAGGUCAGGCCCUAUGCUGCCUAUUCCUCCCUAACUGUCCUACACUGUCCAGUGGCCAGAAAACUGUAGGUGCCCCGCCCUCCCCAACCUCCAAGUUUCUUCCCACUGGGCCUCAUGUGGAUUCUGCCUCCCUCUGCUGUGAAUUGGAGCCUUACUCUGGGUGUGAGCUGCGUCGGUCAUAGAACUUACACCCUUUGCUGCUCACUACCAGGGUGUCCUUUGUUUGUGGGUGUCCAGUGUUUUCUGGUUGUUGUUUGGUUUGGUUUGGUUUUAAGAGAGGAGGUCUCCUUUGUUGCCCAGGCUGGAGUGCCUCACUACUCACAGGAGUGAUCCCAUUGGUAUACUUGGGGCAGAUGCAGAUGAGCACAGUGUGCUACUACCCUGAACUCCUAGGCUCAAUCAAUCCUCCCGCCUCAGCUUCCAAGUGGCUAGGACUACAGGUGUGCACCACACACCUGGCUCUCCAAUGUCUUGAAAACCACUGCUCCACAUGUUUUCUCUCUCUCUCUCUGUCUUUUUUGUUGUUGUUGUUAUUUCUGGUGUGAGAAGAAUCCAGUCCUUGUUAUUCCACCUGGGCCUGGAGCAUAAAUCUCAAUGGUCAUGUGAUUUGGUAAAGUUAGAAAAAAAGAUGAAUUGCAAUCACAAUCAAUAAAAAGCACCAUCUUUUCUCUGCAGGUUCUACUCAAAUUCACUUCCUCUGACACCUAGUACCAUCAGAGUGGCAGAUGACAGUUUGGAAUUUGGGGAAGUAAGCCACUGUCUUAGUCACUUUCCUUGUCACUGGGACAAAAUACCCAACACUCACAACUUAAAGGAAGGAGGAGAGGAUGUUUUGGCUCACAGUUUUAGAAGUUUCAGUCCAUGUCUGGCAGGUUUAAAUACAGG